rnacentral:rRNA from 1 species
AUGCGCCACAGCCAUUGCGCAUGCUGCCUCGCGCAGAUGGGCUGGCUCCGGUGCCCACGCCCGGGAUGCUUCCGCCGUCAGGACCCAACGGCCACACAACACCUCUGGAACCCCACUGUUUCUAGCUCACCGCGGCCACCUCAGGCCGUUCACCGCUGCAACAUGAGGCCGUUCAACGACGUAGCACUCAGGUCGUCCACCUCUGCCACUCCCGUGUACUCCCUCCCAUCCUGUCUCUUAUCUCAAUACUACUCUUUCUCUGUUCCAUCUUUUUUAAGAAGUGCUCUGUACCAACACUUGAACUGCUGA